rnacentral:rRNA from 1 species
GACGAACGCUGGCGGCGUGCUUAACACAUGCAAGUCGAACGAUGAACCCGGGGCUUGCUCCGGUGGAUUAGUGGCGAACGGGUGAGUAACACGUGAGUAACCUGCCCUUGACUCUGGGAUAACUGCGGGAAACUGUAGCUAAUACCGGAUACGACCCUCGGCGGCAUCGCCAGGGGGUGGAAAGAAUUUCGGUCAAGGAUGGACUCGCGGCCUACCAGCUAGUUGGUGUGGUAACGGCUCACCAAGGCGACGACGGGUAGCCGGCCUGAGAGGGUGAACGGCCACACUGGGACGGAGACACGGCCCAGACUCCUACGGGAGGCAGCAGUGGGAAUAUUGCACAAUGGGCGCAAGACUGAUGCAGCAACGCCGCGUGAGGGAUGACGGCCUUCGGGUUGUAAACCUCUUUUAGUAGGGAAGAAGCGAAAGUGACGGUACCUGCAGAAAAAGCACCGGCUAACUACGUGCCAGCAGCCGCGGUAA